UACGUAGGGUGCGAGCGUUAAUCGGAAUUACUGGGCGUAAAGCGUGCGCAGGCGGCGCGUUAAGACAGGUGUGAAAGCCCCGAGCUUAACUUGGGAAUUGCGCUUGUGACUGGCGUGCUGGAGUGUGGCAGAGGGAGGUGGAAUUCCACGUGUAGCAGUGAAAUGCGUAGAGAUGUGGAGGAACACCGAUGGCGAAGGCAGCCUCCUGGGCCGGUACUGACACUGAGGAGCGAAAGCGUGGGUAGCAAACAGG
rnacentral:rRNA from 1 species